rnacentral:lncRNA from 1 species
CAUACGCUUUUCAAUUUCCAGUCUUCGGACAAAAUGAAUUGAAGAACAUCAAAUGACAAAAAAUUAACAAGGGUGUGUGAUAGCACUAUCCAUAACAUAUUACCCACUUUUUUAACAACAAAUUGAAUGGGACUCAACAAAUUUAAUAGUAAGGGGUUCAAUGGCCAAUUUUAUGUAAUGUAGAGGAAAUUGGCUGAAAAACUAAUUUGGGGGGAAAUUGACAAUGAAGUGAUAGUUCAAGGGGAAAUGGAAGUUUACCUGUUGUUUUCAUAAGGAAAUACAAGCGUUGGGGUGCCUUGCAUGUCACUAUAUGAACUAGUAUGAGGUGUAUUUUAUCUUAAUGUCAAAACGUUUGAAUGUUUGCCUCAACUCAAUUUUCAGUUGUUUUUUUCUAAUCCAUAAUGGAAGUGCUUUAUGU